CAAUGGGGGAACCCUGAUGCAGCGACGCCGCGUGAAGGAAGAAGUAUCUCGCNUAUGUAAACUUCUAUCAGCAGGGGAAGAUAGUGACGGUACCUGACUAAGAAGCCCCGGCUAACUACGUGCCAGCAGCCGCGGUAAUACGUAGGGGGCAAGCGUUAUCCGGAUUUACUGGGUGUAAAGGGAGCGUAGACGGUGUGGCAAGUCUGAUGUGAAAGGCAUGGGCUCAACCUGUGGACUGCAUUGGAAACUGUCAUACUUGAGUGCCGGAGGGGUAAGCGGAAUUCCUAGUGUAGCGGUGAAAUGCGUAGAUAUUAGGAGGAACACCAGUGGCGAAGGCGGCUUACUGGACGGUAACUGACGUUGAGGCUCGAAAGCGUGGGGAGCAAACAGGAUUAGAUACCCUGGUAGUCCAAGGGCGAAUUC
rnacentral:rRNA from 1 species